UUGGCACCUCGAUGUCGGCUCAUCACAUCCUGGGGCUGUAGUAGGUCCCAAGGGUUGGGCUGUUCGCCCAUUAAAGUGGUACGCGAGCUGGGUUCAGAACGUCGUGAGACAGUUCGGUCCCUAUCCGUCGCAGGCGUAGGAAAUUUGAGAAGACCUGUCCUUAGUACGAGAGGACCGGGAUGGACGUACCUCUGGUGUACCAGUUGUUCUGCCAAGGGCAUGGCUGGGUAGCUAUGUACGGAAUGGAUAAGCGCUGAAAGCAUCUAAGCGCGAAGCCAACUUCAAGAUAAGAUUUCCCACCGCAAGGGUAAGACCCCAGAAAGACUAUCUGGUUGAUAGGUCGAAGGUGUAAGUGCAGCAAUGUAUUUAGCUUAUCGAUACUAAUAGGUCGAGGACUUGACCAAU
rnacentral:rRNA from 1 species